UGAGGUGUAGCUCAGUGGUAGAGCACUUGCCUAGCAUGUGUGAGGCACUGGGUUCCAUCUUCAGCAUCACAU
rnacentral:tRNA from 1 species